GGCUUGAUAGCUCAGAUGGUAGAGCACUGCAUCUGUAUCGCAGAGGUCAUGGGUUCGAAUCCCGUUCAGGCCU
rnacentral:tRNA from 1 species